rnacentral:rRNA from 1 species
UACAGAGGUCUCAAGCGUUGUUCGGAUUCAUUGGGCGUAAAGGGUGCGUAGGCGGCGCGGUAAGUCGGGUGUGAAAUCUUGGAGCUUAACUCCGAAACUGCAUUCGAUACUGCCGUGCUUGAGGACUGGAGAGGAGACUGGAAUUUACGGUGUAGCGGUGAAAUGCGUAGAUAUCGUAAGGAAGACCAGUGGCGAAGGCGGGUCUCUGGACAGUUUCCUGACGCUGAGGCACGAAGGCCCAGGGGGAGCAAAACGGGG